rnacentral:rRNA from 1 species
UAGAGUUUGAUCCUGGCUCAGGAUGAACGCUGGCGGCGUGCCUAAUACAUGCAAGUCGAGCGAACAGAUAAGGAGCUUGCUCCUUUGACGUUAGCGGCGGACGGGUGAGUAACACGUGGAUAACCUACCUAUAAGACUGGGAUAACUUCGGGAAACCGGAGCUAAUACCGGAUAAGAUUUUGAACCGCAUGGUUCAAUAGUGAAAGACGGCCUUGCUGUCACUUAUAGAUGGAUCCGCGCCGUAUUAGCUAGUUGGUAAGGUAACGGCUUACCAAGGCAACGAUACGUAGCCGACCUGAGAGGGUGAUCGGCCACACUGGAACUGAGACACGGUCCAGACUCCUACGGGAGGCAGCAGUAGGGAAUCUUCCUGCAAUGGGCGAAAGCCUGACGGAGCAACGCCGCGUGAGUGAUGAAGGUACUUCGGAUCGUAAAUACUCUGUUAUCAGGGAAGAACAAACGUGUAAGUAACUGUGCACGUGCUUGUACGGUACCUGCNCAGAAAGCCACGGCUAANAACG